rnacentral:rRNA from 1 species
UGGGGAAUAUUGCACAAUGGGCGCAAGCCUGAUGCAGCCAUGCCGCGUGUGUGAAGAAGGCCUUUGGGAUGUAAAGUACUUUCAGCGGGGAGGAAGGCGGUGAGGUUAAUAACCUCAUCGAUUGACGUUACCCGCAGAAGAAGCACCGGCUAACUCCGUGCCAGCAGCCGCGGUAAUACGGAGGGUGCAAGCGUUAAUCGGAAUUACUGGGCGUAAAGCGCACGCAGGCGGUCUGUCAAGUCAGAUGUGAAAUCCCCGGGCUCAACCUAGGAACUGCAUUCGAAACUGGCAGGCUAGAGUCUUGUAGAGGGGGGUAGAAUUCCAGGUGUAGGGGUGAAAUGCGUGGAGAGCUGGAGGAAUACCGGUGGCGAGGGCGGCCCCCUGGACAAAGACUGACGCUCAGGUGCGAAAGCGUGGGGAGCAAACAGG